UGUGAGAAACCAACAGCCGGCGGCUACUGUCUCACUCGCCGCCGGUGCCGCCACGCCGUCGCCGGCGCCAUGCUCCGCCUGUGAAUCUUCGUCCUCACCCAUAUCCUCUCGUGUCUCGCCGCCUCUCACGCCAAGUAAACUGUCUCCUCUCUCCCGCCUCGCCAGUCACCUACCAAUCCCGAUGCCUAAUCGCCUUCCUCGCCGGUAUCGGCCUCUCCAGCGCCGACGCCGCCGCCCUUGUCGCCAAGGACCCGUUGACCCUCUGCGCUGGCGUGGAGUGAAUCCUGGCCCCUAACGUCGUCGGGCUCACCAGGUCUCAGUAUAUCGCGUUCUGAGAUCGAACGCCUUGUAUCGCACUCUCGCUCGCCCCAAAAGCUUCCGCUGCAAAUCAUGUCUUACCACCAGCUCAGUUGCAGACUCGAUAGGGUAGUAAAGCCCAAUUCUGCGGGAAAUGCGGGAUAGAUGCUUGUCGUAUUGCUUCAUUGUGCCUCGCUGUGCCACGGAUACUUGCCUGCAAGCCAGAACGUGUGGCAGUGCGUGCAGAAGCCGUAGGUGUGCCCCGUGGCUCUGGGUAUUCAGGCGUGCGCUGAAGGUUGUCGCAUUCUUCAGGGAGGAGAAGAUUGCUGUGAAAGUGCAGAACUUGGAAAACACGUUCAGGUGGUCGGAGGCUGAGCCCGGCAUUGCUGUGUCUAAGGCUCCGGACGUGCUAACAAUGCCCAAGGACAUGCUGCAGCGCUAGUCAGAUUUCCCCAUCUCUGAGGUGGGAUUGGAACCCAACCUACAUUGCUUAUCGGUCGGUGUUGCUCACUUAUAGCUUGGAGGGCUGGCUCGGACCACGCUAUUAUGCCGUGAAGUAUCUCCAGGGAAAUGGAUUGGUCAAGCGUGACCCAAGCUACAAUACAGUUGCCAAGCUCACCGAGAAGGUAUUUGUGGAGAAGUACAUAUGCCCUCACAAGAAAGCUGCAGCCUGCACCGCACCUUGCUGAAGACUAUGCAACAACUUGCAGAGGUGAAGUGCCGACUAGAAUCGGAUAUGCUUGAACCAAGAAAAGGCUAUGAAGAUUGGUAAAUUGUGCAUGGCACAACAAAUUCUUGACUCUGCUUAGCUGGUAUUUUGUGAAUGGGACAGUCUCAUAUGCGUUUGGUGAAAAGAAAAGGUCCAGCAAGGUCUUUGGGUCGAUGGUAACUAUGAUGCAGAGAAACUGUUCUUUGUUAAUAUGCAAACGCUACAAUAUCCAACAUCUACAAGAUUGCAUAUCCCUUCCUCCAAAGAGGUUGUUUGCCUACGGAAAUCUGAAAGGGCAACAAGGAGGGAUUGCUUGUUCAGGUUGUCUCGUUUAACUGCACUGCCAAAAUUGUACGAGUAGGACCUGCAGAAGUUGGUGAAGUUGGGAGCUGCGAAAAGAGUGAUCUGAUGUCUGAAGAACUCUACCGUCGUCCAGUGGCCGAGCUCCAGAUAAUAUUUACGGGUCAUCUUCAAUUGGUGGUCACUGGUAAAUGGUCAUGGUGGUGGCCUGGUCAAGGAGGCGAAAGCUUCAGGUAGGGUCGCACGGCAACACCACUCCUCAACUGAGUCUUUGAAUGUUUUCUUGACCAGAGCAUCUGCACUCUGAUUGUCUAACAAAUGCUGUUUAUUCUUCACUGGGCACGAGGAAGUUUCUAAAUAAUCGGUAGCAUUUUAGCCCUGCCGCGAUGGGGCCUUUGUGGGCUUUAGCAGGACGGUGUUUUUGUUGUGUGCUAUGCAUUCAUUGUAUUACACUGCGGCCUGUUGACUGUUGUGUUGUUGGACUGAUGAGAUAAACAGUUUCUUCCUAUAUACCAUUUUGGACUGUUUUUUUAAGGGACCAUGUUGGACUGUUUUGCUGUUGUAACUAAUUAUUUGUGACUCAAACUAAAGAAGCAUGUACAUACAUUUUUCCUUAA